CCUACGGGAGGCAGCAGUGAGGAAUAUUGGUCAAUGGGCGGAAUCCUGAACCAGCCAUGCCGCGUGCAGGACGACGGCUCUACGAGUUGUAAACUGCUUUUGUACCGGGGUAAAAUGCUCUACGAGUAGGGUUUUGAAAGUACGGUACGAAUAAGGAUCGGCUAACUCCGUGCCAGCAGCCGCGGUAAUACGGAGGAUCCGAGCGUUAUCCGGAUUUAUUGGGUUUAAAGGGUGCGUAGGUUGUUUUAUAAGUUAGCGGUGAAAUACCGAUGCUCAACAUCGGGGCUGCCGCUGAUACUGUAGGACUAGAGAUCGGAUGCAGCAGGCGGAAUGUGUGGUGUAGCGGUGAAAUGCAUAGAUAUUACACAGAACACCGAUUGCGAAGGCAGCUUGCUAGGCCGGAUCUGACGCUGAUGCACGAAAGCGUGGGGAUCGAACAGGAUUAGAUACCCUUGUAGUC
rnacentral:rRNA from 1 species